rnacentral:rRNA from 1 species
CCCUUAGAUGUUCUGGGCCGCACGCGCGCUACACUGAUGCAUUCAACGAGUCCAACCUUGACCGAGAGGUCCGGGUAAUCUUUGAAACUGCAUCGUGAUGGGGCUAGAUUAUUGCAAUUAUUAAUCUUCAACGAGGAAUGCCUAGUAAGCGUGAUUCAUCAAAUCGCGUUGAUUACGUCCCUGCCCUUUGUACACACCGCCCGUCGCUCCUACCGAUUGGGUGUGCUGGUGAAAUGUUCGGAUCGGCCGUUUGUCGCGGUUUCCGCGUCAUGUGGCUGAGAAGUUCAUUAAACCCUCCCACCUAGAGGAAGGAGAAGUCGUAACA